CAUCGCCCAAAACCCAGACGCCCUAGCCUCGCGAUUUCCUUCUCCUGGCGAUUUCUUCUCCAGCGUCGCCUCCUCGGCAGCCAAAGCCCGCCUCCCUCCCUCCGACCUCCACCGCCGCCUCCUCCCAGCGUCGGGACCUCCAGCGCCGCCCUCGUCGCCUGCGGCCUCCCGUCCUCCACCUCCUGCCGACCUCCAGCGCCGCCUCCUAUUUUGUUUAGGGAAUGUUUGAAGUUAAUCCCUCAUAAGAAGUUUUCCUUUGCAAAGAUAUGACCCAUGGCUGCCCAAUUUGAGAUCAGACAAAGAAACUUAAAGGAUAUCUAUCUUCCCGCCUAAUAUGAAGCUACUAGAAGCAGCCUACAAAUGGAAAAAGCAGAAAAUCACCACAGAUGAAAAUUGAGCGAGAACUUAAUCGAGAAGUAUCAUCCUAUAGGAAGGAUCUGGCUAUGAAUGUCACUCUUCUGUGUAUCAUCCUAUAGGAAGAACUUCAAUUGAGUUCUAGAAUAUUUUCGAUUUAGCCAUGUAUAUAUAACUUGGACAAAGGAUUCUCUAUACUAUGUGCUCGAGCCUCACUGUCCCAAGUUAUUGUGAAUUGAAUACUUGUUGAUAUUGUUUGUGCUACUGUGCUAGGGGGAGCAUGGAACACAAUAGUGCCUUUUGUAUUUCAUUUUAUUUCAUGUUAUUUCCAUUUCACUUUCCUUUUUAUCUCCCUCAAUUGCAAAUGUUGACAGUGUACUAGAAAUUUCCUUUCAAUCCACUUAAUAUACCUGCCCUGUUUGGUUGGUCUCCUG